ACGCACGUCGACGUGUAUUCUUGCAAGUUCUGGAUCGCCUGUGCACGUUGCCGUUGUCUGCAACAACGCGGGCAACUGGCCACGGCAAGCCCUUCGCCCUCUCCUUCCCGAAUCCCUUUCUCGAUCUCUCAGGGAAUUAUACGGAGGGGCUCUCCGUCCCUUCCUCCCCUGGCGGCACCGAUGGAGCAUGCACUGCUGCAGGUGGUGCACCUUUAUCCACCAAAGACACUGCUCCGCUACGACGCCGCCGCGCACACAGAGAAGCUGAGACACCAGCCGCACCUGUACGCUGCGAGCUCCUUCGAAGACUGUGAGAUCGUCGCUACGAAUGAGCAGGUGGGGGCGUAUACCGAUCUGCUCGACUUCAUCACCGGCGCGCAGCAGGAGUGCUAUGCACUCUUCGGUGAGGAUGAUGCGCGGUGGUCCGUCGACGACCCUGUUGAAGAGGAGCGUUCCGCCGGCACGCUUGAUAGUGGCAGUGUCCGCAUCAACUCCAGCGAGUGGAGCGAGGGGGACGGCGACGAUGCUAAUGUAAACGGGGGUGCGCCGCGAAAGCGUAAGCGAUCGCACGCGUAGUAUGGGCGCGUGUGUGCGACGGCGGCACAUCAUAUAGGCCGCCCUCAGACGAGCACGGAGAGAAUUGCGAGCUUUUUGGUACUUAGAUGCUGCGCCGUCAUGCGUGAGGAGUGCGCAUGCGACUCGACUGAUCAGUUCCGCUGGAUUUGGUCGGCUUGCUAAUUAGUGAUCAUGCGAAGCGCCUUUUGCGUCGCAGAGCGCACGCGACGCCCUCCACAGGAAGCUAUGAGGAUGUGGGAGACGAACUGCUUUGUUGGCGAGAUCGUGCGAAAAGUGGGAGGGAGGCGGCGGACGCACACGCACUCGCAAAAUCUAAGACGAGGUAGGCGAAGCGAGGAGGCGGGUUGGGGCUGCGGGACGGGAGCGUACCAGUGCGAUGCCCAUCUCCGUGCCUCUCCCUCCCACCCCUCUUCUUAGUUUGCAGUUUUGCUGGCCGCAAUGGUGCACCAGGCGCGCCCCCAUCACACCAUUUCAAGCCUUUUCACAAUCCUGCCUACUUCUCUUUUCCAUGCUUACCUGUGCAUGCCGCAUGCGCGCAAACUUGCCGCGCCCCCUCUCUCCACCUCCCUGCACGCGCGUACGCGCUCGUAUGGUCGGUGGUAAUUCUGCUCGGCGCUGGUUUCAG
rnacentral:misc_RNA from 1 species